CCGCGGUGGUGUAGGUGGAAGCGGCGGUGGAGGAGGAGGAUGAGGUAGCCAACACUGUUUUUUAUAUAUCUAUUUUUUAUUUUAAUUGAGGUAGCCCCAAAAAUAUUGGGACAUAUAAAAAAAGACAACUCUGUUCCGCAGAGUAGCUGUUGACAUUAUAGUUGCGCAGGCACUUUGUUGACUCUAGAGAACUUCGGGCCAAUCGCACAUCCCUGUGAUGGUGACUUUGCAUUUGGAUGUCAUCCAUAUCAACUUUCGAUGCCAGUUUCUGCGCCUACUAUGGUGACCACGGGUAACGUGGAAUCAGGGUUCCAUUCCAUACAGGGACCCUGAGAAAUGUCUACCAUAUGCAAGGAAGGCAGCAGGCGCGCAAAUGACCCACUCCCAACGCGGGAAGGUAGUGAUGACAAAUAAUAUACAGGACUCUUUAGAGGCUCUGUAAUUGUAAUGAGUCCACUUGAAAUCCUUUAACUCUGAUCAAUUGGAGGGAAGUCUGGUGCAGAGCCGCUGACCCGUGCGUGCUGCAGCUGAAACUCCACU
rnacentral:rRNA from 1 species